GCGGGUGUGGCGGAAUUGGUAGACGCACCAGAUUUAGGUUCUGGCGCCUUAUGGGCGUGGAGGUUCAAGUCCUCUCACCCGCA
rnacentral:tRNA from 1 species